UACGUAGGGCGCAAGCGUUGUCCGGAAUUAUUGGGCGUAAAGAGCUCGUAGGCGGCCAGUUGCGUCCGCUGUGAAAUCCUGGGGCUUAACCCCGGGCGUGCAGUGGAUACGGGCUGGCUAGAGGCAGGCAGGGGAGAACGGAAUUCCCGGUGUAGCGGUGAAAUGCGCAGAUAUCAGGAGGAACACCGAUGGCGAAGGCAGGUCUCUGGGCAUUAACUGACGCUGAGGAGCGAAAGCAUGGGGAGCGAACAGG
rnacentral:rRNA from 1 species